GACGAACGCUGGCGGCGUGCUUAACACAUGCAAGUCGAACGGUGACCCAGGGCUUGCCCUGGUGAUCAGUGGCGAACGGGUGAGUAACACGUGGGCAACCUGCCCCUGACUUCGGAAUAACUCCUCGAAAGAGGAGCUAAUACCGGAUACGACCACUUCGGACAUCCGAUGGUGGUGGAAAGUUUUUCGGUCAGGGAUGGGCCCGCGGCCUAUCAGCUAGUUGGUGGGGUAAUGGCCUACCAAGGCGACGACGGGUAGCCGGCCUGAGAGGGCGACCGGCCACACUGGGACUGAGACACGGCCCAGACUCCUACGGGAGGCAGCAGUGGGGAAUAUUGCGCAAUGGGCGAAAGCCUGACGCAGCGACGCCGCGUGAGGGAUGAAGGCCUUCGGGUUGUAAACCUCUUUCAGCAGGGACGAAGCGAAGUGACGGUACCUGCAGAAGAAGCACCGGCUAACUACGUGCCAGCAGCCGCGGUAAU
rnacentral:rRNA from 1 species